rnacentral:lncRNA from 1 species
CUUUAGAACAACACAGAAAUUUCAGAAGGAACAAAUGUUAUGCCACCUAAUGCUCCUGAAAUAAAAAGGAAAAAAGAAGGAAAAAAGAAAAGGAGUUUUAGAGCUAUCAGCAGAGUGGGAUGCCAAUGGUAUUUAUAAAUGAGUGAGAGCAACAUCACACUAGAAAAUAGGAAGGGCAGUCAUUUGUGUCAUUCAUGGUGGAUAUUGGCAAGAAUUUGGUGACAUUACAUACAAUCAACUAUGAAUUUAUACAUGAUGCAUUCUAAAGGUUUUGUUUGUGUGUAAAAUUAAUAUCUGCCCUUUACAGAAUAUUUUUCUUUUCCCAGAGAUGGAAACAAAGAUCUUCCAGAUUUUCCAGCACCCUGAUGGCAGACAGAAACAGCACAAUAAGAUGCAACUGAAAACUAGCCAGAAAUCUCUGGACAAAGUAUGUUUCUUCGUUUGCACAAUAUUAAGGGUGUUGGUGGGAGUGGAAGGAAUUGGUGCUGAGGGAAUUAACUUUGCUUAUCCUGAAUGACAGCUGCAUCUUAAAACAUCCUACUAACACAUAGAUGCCCUUGCUGCAGUAUAGGAAGUAUUUGGGAGAAAAAAAAAUACUUCAUGAGAGAUUAGUCAAGCUAUAAUUCAGAAGUAUAUGGG